rnacentral:other from 1 species
UGGCCUCUGCCUGGUUCGUGACUCGAUGGAAGUGGCGUUCCUCCGUGCUUGAUCCUUUAGGAUCGAUCCCUCGCCGUGGUGUGCAUACCUUCAUGGUAAGGAAGCCUGAAGCGGCGAUAUCGGGUUCCCUCUUGAUAAGAGGAGGACCUGCUCCCUCUCCGACGGCCAGGCGGUGCCAC